UACGUAGGGCGCAAGCGUUAUCCGGAAUUAUUGGGCGUAAAGAGCUCGUAGGCGGUUUGUCGCGUCUGCUGUGAAAUCCCGAGGCUCAACCUCGGGUCUGCAGUGGGUACGGGCAGACUAGAGUGUGGUAGGGGAGAUUGGAAUUCCUGGUGUAGCGGUGGAAUGCGCAGAUAUCAGGAGGAACACCGAUGGCAAAGGCAGAUCUCUGGGCCAUUACUGACGCUGAGGAGCGAAAGCAUGGGGAGCGAACAGG
rnacentral:rRNA from 1 species